rnacentral:rRNA from 1 species
GACGAACCGUGCGAACGUUGUUCGGAGUCACUGGGCUUAAAGGGCGCGUAGGCGGCUUGCCAAGUCAGUGGUGAAAUCCUGCAGCUUAACUGUAGAAGUGCCUUUGAUACUGGCAAGCUAGAGGGAGGUAGGGGUCUGUGGAACUUCUGGUGGAGCGGUGAAAUGCGUUGAUAUCAGAAGGAACGCCGGUGGCGAAAGCGACGGACUGGACCCCUUCUGACGCUGAGACGCGAAAGCGUGGGGAGCAAACAGG